UGUGGUAUUGUUGGCACAUUAGGUUAAUUGGUGUGUGCUUAAACGCGUAAUCAAUCAUGAUCUCGAAAGACCCCCUUUUCCUGCAUUUAUCGACUUUAUGACAUGCACGGGAAUAAAAUUCCGCCGCAGUUGGUCACUCAAGUUGGAGAUGCAUUCAAGAGAAUUCUCCAAGAGACGGAGAAAAUUCGGGAUGAAACUGUUACGAGCAGGAAUUUUAUUUUAUUUACAAGGUUCAGAUUCUCGAGGUCUUGAGCCAAAAUGGCUGGUACUAUGUCUCUUGCACUCGCUGCAGCAAAAAACUAGACAGAUCUGCCGCAUCUCUCCGCUGCAACCAAUGUGUUAAUCACAAUGUCACCAAUGUAGUAAAGUACCAUGUUGAAUUAUUGGUUGAUGAUGGGAAUAACUAUGCCACUUUUGUUGUGUUCGACAAGGAGAUGCUUAUGCUCGCUAAGCAAGAUCAGCUGCUCUUCUUCUUGAUGAGGUUUUUGUGGUGUCGACAAGAAACUCAAGGCAGAACUUGGAGGGACAGAUUUAGAUUUCCAUAUACGUGUCACUCCACACAAUUUCUCCCCAGACCACUGCACCUUCACCGUUUCCGCAGCCAGUGACAGUUUUAACACCGAGAGUUGCAACAUCAAUGAAACACCAUUUGUUGAAGGGAAGUGUGGGGACGCAUCCACUUCCGCUUCUGCCAGCAACACAUCUACGGCUGAUGUGAAAGGUGGACGCAUACACCCCCAUGAAUGAGAGUUUUUAAGCAAUGAAAACGUGAACCCAAACUCUGCUUGCGUUUGUUUAUAAUUUCUUAUAUUACUAUGCAUAUCCUAUUUCAUACUCUCCAGUUUUUCCCUAUUUCCAUGUUUUUUCAAAGCCAUUUACGGCUACAGACCUUAUCCGACGAAAACAGUUUAUAAGUUUUAAUUGUUUAAA